rnacentral:sRNA from 1 species
GCCGGGCAUGGUGGCGCAUGCCUGUAGUCCCAGCUACUCGGGAGGCUGAGGCAGGAGGAUUGCCUGAGCCCAGGAGUUUGAGGUUGCUGUGAGCUAAGCUGACGCCACGGCACUCACUCUAGCCUAGGCAACAAAGCGAGACUCUGUCUCAAAAAAAAAAAAAAAGAGAGACAGGGUCUCACUCUGUGGACCAGGUGGAAAUGCAGUGGCGCCAUCAUAGCUCACUGCAGCCUCCAACUCCUGGGCUCAAACCAUCCUCCUGCCUCA